UGGGAGUCGUACGCUCCUGGGCAAGGGAGCGUGGCGGACGGCUGAGUAACACGUGGCUAACCUACCCUGAGGAGGGAGAUAACCCCGGGAAACUGGGGAUAAUCUUCCAUAGGCGAGGAGUCCUGGAACGGUUCCUCGCUGAAAGGCUCAUGGGCUAUUUCCCGCUCAUGAGCGCCUCAGGAUGGGGCUGCGGCCCAUCAGGUAGUUGGGGGGGUAAGGGCCCCCCAAGCCUAUAACGGGUAGGGGCCGUGAGAGCGGGAGCCCCCAGCUGGGCACUGAGACAAGGGCCCAGGCCCUACGGGGCGCACCAGGCGCGAAACGUCCCCAAUGCGCGGAAGCGUGAGGGCGCCACCCCGAGUGCUCCCGUAAGGGAGCUUUUCCCCGCUCUACAAAGGCGGGGGAAUAAGCGGGGGGCAAGUCUGGUGUCAGCCGCCGCGGUAAUACCAGCCCCGCGAGUGGUCGGGACUCUUACUGGGCCUAAAGCGCCCGUAGCCGGCCCGACAAGUCACUCCUUAAAGACCCCGGCUCAACCGGGGGAAUGGGGGUGAUACUGUCGGGCUAGGGGGCGGGAGAGGCCAGCGGUACUCCCGGAGUAGGGGCGAAAUCCUCAGAUCUCGGGAGGACCACCAGUGGCGAAAGCGGCUGGCUAGAACGCGCCCGACGGUGAGGGGCGAAAGCCGGGGCAGCAAAAGGGAUUA
rnacentral:rRNA from 1 species